GCCCGCUCCUGAGUUGCCGCCAGCUUGAUGACCUUAAUGUGUGGUGAGGAUCAUGCAGAAGAAGGCAGUCUCCCAGGAAGAAAAUUGCAGCAAUAGGAACCCCUACAGAAGAUGGAAGUCAGCCCAUGGAAACCACUCUGCUCUUUACAUACAUUGACUGAUGAUAAGAAAAGGACUCUGAGUAUGUGAAAAGUGCC